rnacentral:rRNA from 1 species
UAAACCGUGCAGUUCACAGAUCAAACGCGAGUGGCCUGCGCCCGCAGGUUGAGAUAUGACCGUAGCAGCUCUGCGAGGAGUCUGAUCGUCUAGUUCCGUAGGUGAACCUGCGGAAGGAUCAUUA